rnacentral:rRNA from 1 species
CCCUUAGAUGUUCUGGGCCGCACGCGUGCUACACUGAGUAAAUCAAUGGGUAAGGGAACACGAAAGUGCAACCUAAUCUUGAAAUUUGCUCGUGAUGGGGAUCGACGGUUGCAAUUUUCCGUCGUGAACGAGGAAUACCUUGUAGGCGCGUGUCAUCAUCACGCGCCGAAUACGUCCCUGCCCUUUGUACACACCGCCCGUCGCUCCUACCGAUUGGGUGUGCUGGUGAAAUGUUCGGAUCGGCCGUUUGUCGCGGUUUCCGCGGCUCGUGGCUGAGAAGUUCAUUAAACCCUCCCACCUAGAGGAAGGAGAAGUCGUAACA